GAUGAAGAACGCAGCGAAAUGCGAUAAGUAAUGUGAAUUGCAGAAUUCAGUGAAUCAUCGAAUCUUUGAACGCACCUUGCGCCCCUUGGUUAUUCCGAAGGGCAUGCCUGUUUGAGUAUCAUGAACACCUCAACUCUUGUGGUUUCCCACAAUGAGCUUGGACCAUGGAGGUUUUUGUUGGCCCUCUGGUCAGCUCCUCUCAAAUGGAUCAGCUUACCGGUGUUUGGUGGCAUCAUGGGUGUGAUAACUAUCUACGCUUGUGGUCGUCUCCAAAUAACCUCCAGUGAUGGAGGUUCGCUGGAGCUUAUAAACGUCUCUCCCCAGUGAAGACAGCCUUUGAACGUUCGAUCUCAAAUCAGGUAGGACUACCCGCUGAACUUAAGCAUAUCAAUAAGCGGAGGA
rnacentral:misc_RNA from 1 species